rnacentral:lncRNA from 10 species
AAUGGCUCUUAUGUGCUAUCUACAUGAUAUAUCUUUUCUUAAAUGAUCCUAACAACUCUAGAAAAUAAGUAGUACUAACUUCAUAUUAAGUAUGACUUAAACAAGUCAUGCACUUUGCAAAUGAUAUGGCAGAUUUCUGCUUGACCACACAGUGAAUGCUUUGUCCAAACCACCUAUUUUGCUUUGAACUAUUCUAUUUUGGCCUGGGAAGGGGAAUUACUGCUGAUGUGAUUGGUUAAUGGUUAGUCCUAUUACACCAGGCUUGUAUCCAUUGCUACCUUUUUGUAUGUCUCUGAAUUAUCAAACGAACAGGAGCCUCCUGACUGAGACUAUGUACUAUUAAUGGAUCAUAUGUAUCCAGAUAUAUUUACAGAUAGAAUACAUUUCAGAAACAUAAAGGACAAUAAAAAAUGGCAGAAUUUACAAUCUUAACAACAUGGUUGCAGAAGCAGAACGGGAAAGUCAUGUAGGCAGUCAAGGUAAUACGCACAAUGUAAACAUGUCAUCUAGGACAUGAAGAAAACCUUUUGGGCCAAGUAGUACAGCAUGUUUAGUUAGAUCUAAACAAAUGUGCAUGACUAUAACCCCAAAUCUGUAAUUUCAUUUCUUUCCUUUUCCACAAUUAUCCAAUCUUCAGUUUUACCAGUAGUAUCAGAGACAUUUUCUGCUCUUAAACUCUAGCUAUCUGUGACACUUCCUUCUGGAAAGUGUCCAAAGCUUGAACCCUCCCUAGUUUCUCACACAUCUGUGCAUUAUUAGCCUGUUUCUGGUCAAAUCGUGUGGCAGAUGAACAACAGCCACAAAUUCUUUGACAUUCUUCCUAUAGGGAGGUAGGGCCUAUUUGCUAUCUCCUUGAAUCUGGGCUGCCAUUAAUCUCUUUCCACUAAUGGAGUGCAGUGUUAGGGAUUAUGACAGUUGUAGACCUUGUUUCUAUGAGAUUGACAGCUUCUACUUCAGUCUCCUAAAGCCCCCAGGGACAAAACAAGAAGUCAGAUCACACUGCUGGAGAGACCACAUGGAGAAUAUUGAGAAUAUGUGGAGAGAGACAGAAGAAUCUAGCUGAGCCCAGCCUUCCAAUUGUCCACAGCAAGACAUAAUGAAUGGAAGUAAAACCACCUUGGAUCAGGUGAAAACUAGACAGGUAGUGAAUUAGAACACAGACACUGGAGCCCAAUUGCCGGGGACCAGACUUCAGCUCUGCCAUUUACUGUGGGAUGACCUCGAGCAAAUUUUUUCACAUCUUAGUGUUGUUGGGGUUUUCUCAUCAGAAGUAUGAGGGUAUAAUAGUCUUCACCUUAUAGAAUUGUUGUGUGUAUAAGUUAAUAAAUAUCUAGAUAAAUACAUGUGUGUAUACAUGUACAUGUAUGUCUAUGUACACACAUACAUAUGUGUGUAUUAGAAUGAUAGCCC